CUUUUUUGCUUGGUGAUAUUUAGUACUUUUGCUUGUGUGACGUUGGUUACUGGAUUAGAGUUAACACAGGUCGAAAGGUUAAGAGGAAGAACAUGCUACCAAA